GAGAAUGACAGGCUUUUGAAGCUGGGGCCAAAUUGAUUGGUGCCACAACCCAUUUUGUCACGGAGGAGCUUGAUGGGGGCCCAAUCAUUGAGCAGAUGGUUGAGAGAGUCUCGCACAAGGAUAAUUUGCUGAGUUUUAUUCAGAAAUCUGAGAAUCUUGAAAAACAAUGCCUUAUGAAGGCAAUCAAGUCAUAUUGUGAGUUACGCGUUCUACCUUAUCAACACAACAAGACUGUUGUAUUUUGAGUAAGCUCAAAAUGAUGCUGAUCAAAACUACAGAGUCCAUUAUAUUCCUUGUGUUGCAAAGUUUUUGUAUUUCAUUUUAAUUAUUCAUUCUAAUUUAAGUUGUUCUUGUUCCAAUCCAAUAAUAAGAUAAAUUAAGAGUCAUUGUGUGUUCAUAAUACUAAGAUAUAUGUGCAUUCUCAGUUCUCCUUAAAUUCAUUGUUGUUGGAGUUU